rnacentral:misc_RNA from 1 species
UUCUGCAGCCCCUUCUGAACAGAUAAACAAACCAAGAUUGGCACUCUUCCCUUCAAAAGCCAACAUAUUUUCAAUAGAUUUGGAACAAAUGCUUGAUGGUGCCUCCUCUGACAUGCUAGACUGAAUUUUCAAACCUUCAAUUGACAUGGCUUCAAUAUUAUCCAUUGCCAAGGGAGUAAGAUAUUCAAGAGUUGCAUAGUCUGAGCCCAUCUUAGCACCAGAUAAUGAUUCAUGAAACAGGGAAGUCUGCCUAGCAGGCACAGCU